ACGAAAGAAAUUAGAAAAUUGGUAUUAAAUAUAUUAAACUUUACAUUUACAAUUGAAGUGAUAAAGACUGAUAAGAAUGGUGUUGCAGACUACUUAUCAAGACAAAGCUACUCAGACUGAGAACAAAGACGAAGAUACAAUUGAAAAGAUACUCAAAACCAUUAAUAAACUUUGUACUAAAGUGGAUAGUAUGGACAAUGAGAUACAAAAGUUAAAGACAAAUGAAGAUAACCUGAAGUCUAAAGUUAAUAUAAGCCAGCAGCAUGACUAUAAAAUGUGGAGCUACGUCGAUCGGGAGAUGGUAAAUUCCAGAGAUAAAAGGAGACGAUGUGAAACUCCCUAAAACCCAUAAUGUUUGUUUAAAUACAGCUGCAGGUAUAAGAAGAAAAGUUAGUGAAAAACCAGGAAAUACAAAUUUAACCAGUUAUUUGCAAAAUCAUUUAUUCAAAACACACCAAAACAAAUACCCAUAGAACCACAAACUUCUACCUAUGCAGUGAGUAUACAAAAUCAUAGUGAAAAUAAAAGAUACAAUUAUAUUACACAAACCUACAUUGAAAAUAUAUAUAGAAUCCAAGUCAAGACGAUAUAACUCAAAAAUUACAAGGAUACAAUAGACUUAUAAGCACAACAAAAAAACUAGUGCUAAUCUAGUUAAGACAUGUUACAGUUAUGGAUUACUAAGUACAGUAUAUACAUAUGACGGAGAAGAAAUCAGUGGACUACCAGAGUUAUACAAAGCAUUUAUUACAUAUAAAAGAGUUACAAAAGGAAACUCAUUUUAUAUUAAGUUUUAUACAGCAGCAGCAGAAAUACUAUAUGAGGAGGUAAAAUCUCCAAUUCAAGUUAUUAAGAUAGGAUUUACAAAAGAUAUGACCAUACCAGAGGAUAUUGGACAUCAGAAUGAAAUACCAAAGAUAGAAAUACCAAAUUUUUAUGCUAAUAAAAGAAUAAUUGGUAUAUCAACUAUCAUACAAGAAUUAGCAAAUAACUAUUUAAAUGGAAAUGUCAUAUGGAGCUAUUACGCUAGAGAUCAAGUUAUAAUAUAUUCAAACUCAAGGGAAUUCAGAAGAGCAGAUAUGGAUGAAGUUCAGCGACGAAUUUUAUCAUUACUAAAGCUAGAGGAACAACCUACAACACGAGCAUUAAAGAAAGAAUUUAUUUCAAAAGACUUAUUAAUUAGAUAUUGUAAAUUUAUUGGACACAAAUACCAAGAUCACAGAUGUUUCAAAUGCAAUGGAGAAGAUAAUGUUAUGUCAGAUAUUGAUUUGGAAUAAAGAUGAAGAGAUAAGAAUGCAAAAUAAGAUAAGGAUGAAGAAAAAGAGCUAUAGUAGACAAAGAAAAAUGACGAC
rnacentral:lncRNA from 1 species